CCUACGGGGUGCUGCAGUGGGGGAUAUUGCACAAUGGGGGGAACCCUGAUGCAGCGACGCCGCGUGGGUGAAGGAGUAUUUCGGUAUGUAAAGCCCUAUCGGCAGGGGAGAAAUUGGACGGUACCUGACUAAGAAGCCCCGGCUAACUACGUGCCAGCAGCCGCGGUAAUACGUAGGGUGCAAGCGUUAUCCGGAUUUACUGGGUGUAAAGGGAACGUAGACGGCAGCACAAGUCUGGAGUGAAAUGCCGGGGCUUAACCCCGGAACUGCUUUGGAAACUGUGCAGCUAGAGUGCAGGAGAGGUAAGUGGAAUUCCUAGUGUAGCGGUGAAAUGCGUAGAUAUUAGGAGGAACACCAGUGGCGAAGGCGGCUUACUGGACUGUAACUGACGUUGAGGCUCGAAAGCGUGGGGAGCAAACAGGAUUAGAUACCCGAGUAGUC
rnacentral:rRNA from 1 species